UCACACUUCCUGAAGAAAUUUUGUUUUAUUCUUUUAAGAGUUAUCUACCACGUAUUAAGUUAUCUGAAGAGAGCUAAUCUCCCCUGUAAACAAAGCAAGGCAACUUCUGUGUGCUUGAUCUUGCAAAAUUAGCUGGCACUUGCUAUGCAUAAACCAGAGGUCUUGUUUCUGUGUCAUUUGAUGAAGAUAUCAUCUGAUUUGCUUACCAGCAAGGGUAGAGAGAUGAGACUUGACAUUAAAUUCCACUUACUCAAAGAAUACAUCUAUCAGAAGUCAGGAUUCCUGUCACAAUGGACAAGCACUGCAAAGUUCUAGGACUGGUGGAGUGCUGAUAUAUACAGAUGGCUCCUUUCACCAUCCCUCUACCAUACUUGACCAUAAUAAUCUACUUUAUCAAAUGGAAAUAGCCAGAGCACAGAAACAUAAUGCUCUGUAUUGCUAUGUCAUCUCUGUCUCUUGGAGUUGAUGAAAUUUGUGUCUGGAUAAAGAAAAUAUUUUGCUUCUUGGAGUGCUGCAGGAAUGUUGAAAUAUCAUCACAAAACGUAAGUGUCUGGAGACCUAAUUGCAUCCUCACCAUAUUUGUUGGAAGCCAUUUUGCAGAAUUUUUUAGAGCUUUUUUU